rnacentral:lncRNA from 1 species
GCGUGUGCCAGGAUGGGAUUCCCUGAGGAGUACAUCUGGAGCUGAGAAUUGGAGUUUGCUGGAGUGUUCACUGAAUGAGGGGUGGGAGGAGAGCCAGCAUUCAUACUGAAAGAGAAACCCACUGGCAGGAGGACACAGGGCAAGGUAAGAAGAGCUGUCCAAGAAAGCUGGCCUGGGGCAUGUCCAGAGAAGAAGAGGCAGGGCCAUUGCGCUUCCUCUGGGUUUCAUAGGGAUGCAGCAAUGGACGGGGUCAUUGGCCUGCAACAGCCUGGCCCUUGGAUGGGACCAUACAAGGCUGACUGCAAGGGAAACAUGAACACAUUUCCCGGUGAGUAGAGAAGUAAAUCAAAUUAUUUCUAUGAACAGGAAUUGCUAGAGGCUUCAUGGAACAAGUGGGAUGUAAGAUGCAUCUUCAAGAGUGAGUGACAUUUUGGCAUGGCAUUUGAGAGGUGACAAUCCAGAGGCUAUGAGCAACAGCCCCAGAUGGGAAAGCACCAAGGAGUGAAGAAGCUUACGAGCAAAAAGUAUUUCUUAGUUUUGCAGUUUCUAAAUGUAUCUAUGUUCUGCCCCUUUAAUCUCUAACAAUAUGAUUUUGAACUAAUUAAUAUAAAAUUAAUCCAUACAUUAGCUAAAGUAGAUAAUGACUUAAUGACUUCCACAUCCCAGGCAAUAAACUUUUGAAAAUGCUUCUAGCCCGCCACAUAAAAAUCUGGCAAAAUCAGUGAAAGAGAAUUUCAAGGACUGUUUUUCUUUUAAUUUAUAUCUCAAAGUAAUGGUGUACCAGGGAAAAUGUCCAGAUUCUAGUUCUGCACUACUUCAGAUCAGAGAUUUGCAGUAGGGAGAUUUGGCUCCCCAGGGGGCAUCUGGCAAUGUCUGGAGACAUUUCGGGUUGUCACAACUGGUGGGGGGUGCUACAGGCAUUAAGUGGGCAUAGGCUGGGGAUGCGGCUGCAUAGAACAGCUCCCACAACAGAAUUAUUCAGCCAAAGAAUUAUCAAUAGUGCCAAGGUUAAUGCACCUUGUUUUACACCAAGAAAUAACCUUUAAGACUGACCUUCUCAAAUCCUUAAUUUUGCAGAUGUUAUGUGUAACUUCCAAUAUAUGAAAUAAUUUGCAUGCAGCUGGCUAAUUAACAGUAUAUGGCCUGGGACUCAGGCUUUAUAGACCAGUGAUUUUCUUUCCUGAUGCAUUAGAUGUCCUGUGUGUUUUAUAUCGAAUGGCCAGCAUAUUUUAAUGCUGUCAGCUCUUAAUUCCAACACAGAGAGGAGUUACUAUAUAGAUGCCAAUUGCAUAGGGAGGAAUAUAGUUUUGAGAUCGGGCUUCUGAUGAUCCAGGAAGGGAAGGGAAGUAGGGGUUGCCCCAUCUCUGGGGUCUACAGCAACAUCACUGGAGCCCCAGAUGGGGCUGACCAGGAGCAUCAGUGUGUGAAGACCAGUCCAUGAUGCUGACACUCUUUAAUUAUGAAAGGAUGAAUAAUCUAGUUCUGCGUUCUUUCAGGAGACAAGGGACUUGUCCAAAGCAUGAACACUUUAUAAACAAUUUAACAAAUGUAAACUGUGAAAGAGAAAGACAAAUGUGUGAAUAUGAAAACUAGGGUCCCUGACAGGCCCACAGCCUCCAAACCCCUCCCUUCACUUCAGAAUGAAAGAAUCCUUCUGUGCCUGCAGGGGAGUGGGCCGUGGUGGGAGGAGGCUGGACCUGGGGUUGCGAGUCUGUGAAGGGCCCUAGACCCUGGCCUGAGUAAUGCCACUUACUGACCAUUUCAAUUUGGGCAAGACAUUUUCAUUCUCAGGGCCUUGAACUCCCCACCUAAGAAAUGAUGAAACCUGAGUCAGAGCUUCAGUAUUUGAGUUUAUCUUUGAGAUCAGGUUUAAGAUGCCUCAUUUUCCAGGUGAAGAAAUUAAAGUUUGGAAAAGUCAAGUUAUCUCUUGCAGGCCACAAAACUAGCAAGAGAACAAAGGGGGCAAUUGAUCAGAUUUUAUGCAAUAUCAAUGCUUGGGAGAAGAGGCUUGAGGCUUUAGGAGCAUUAGGGGCUGCAAUGGCUUUGGUCCCAUGAUCAGUAGCAUUCAUUUGCCCAUCCUCUCUGAAGUUCACUAAAGGGACCCUGUGUAUCCCUCAUCUGGCUUCCUCAUGCCUGGACCCCCAGAUGGGCAUCAUUUUUAAACCCAUGAGGCCUCAGGAUGGUGGCUCCUUCUCUCAUCAGCUACUCCUUCAACACUGGAAGGGAGCUCAUUCCAGACACAAUCAUAGAAAAAAUCACUCCAGCUAGGAAAAGCCAGAUGGACACCAAGAAAAGGCUAAUGUUUCACCAUGGCUGAACCACCUCACCUCACAGGGUGUCUUGUUUAGGGAAAUGAGAUUUUCAAACAAAGAAUCAGGAGCAGGUAAAAGCCACAAAGAAUCAGAUGAGAGAUACACUCAUUAGCAAACUUCCACACUGUCCA